rnacentral:tRNA from 1 species
AAUAAGGUGCCUGAUUAAAAGGAUUAUUUUGAUGGAAUAAAUUAUGUGGUUACACCCUUAUUA